rnacentral:rRNA from 1 species
AACGGAAAGGCUCCAGCUUGCUGGAGUACUCGAGUGGCGAACGGGUGAGUAACACGUGGGUAAUCUGCCCUGCACUCUGGGAUAAGCCUGGGAAACUGGGUCUAAUACUGGAUAUGACCUUUCUCCUUAUGGGGUUUGGUGGAAAGUUUUUCGGUGUAGGAUGAGCCCGCGGCCUAUCAGCUUGUUGGUGGGGUGAUGGCCUACCAAGGCGACGACGGGUAGCCGGCCUGAGAGGGUGAUCGGCCACAUUGGGACUGAGAUACGGCCCAGACUCCUACGGGAGGCAGCAGUGGGGAAUAUUGCACAAUGGGCGGAAGCCUGAUGCAGCGACGCCGCGUGAGGGAUGACGGCCUUCGGGUUGUAAACCUCUUUCAGCAGGGACGAAGCGUAAGUGACGGUACCUGCAGAAGAAGCACCGGCUAACUAUGUGCCAGCAGCCGCGGUAAUACGUAGGGUGCGAGCGUUGUCCGGAAUUACUGGGCGUAAAGAGCUCGUAGGCGGUUUGUCACGUCGUCUGUGAAAUCCUAGGGCUUAACCCUGGACGUGCAGGCGAUACGGGCUGACUUGAGUACUACAGGGGAGACUGGAAUUUCUGGUGUAGCGGUGGAAUGCACAGAUAUCAGGAAGAACACCGAUGGCGAAGGCAGGUCUCUGGGUAGUAACUGACGCUGAGGAGCGAAAGCAUGGGUAGCGAACAGGAUUAGAUACCCUGGU